AUUGAACGCUGGCGGCAUGCCUUACACAUGCAAGUCGAACGGUAACGGGCCUUCGGGUGCCGACGAGUGGCGAACGGGUGAGUAAUGCAUCGGAACGUACCUUUCAGUGGGGGAUAACGUAGCGAAAGUUACGCUAAUACCGCAUAUUCUGUGCGCAGGAAAGCAGGGGAUCGCAAGACCUUGCGCUGAUUGAGCGGCCGAUGUCAGAUUAGCUAGUUGGUGAGGUAAAGGCUCACCAAGGCGACGAUGUGUAGCGGGUCUGAGAGGAUGAUGCGCCACACUGGAACUGAGACACGGUCCAGACUCCUACGGGGGGCAGCAGUGGGGAAUUUUGGACAAUGGGGGCAACCCUGAUCCAGCCAUGCCGCGUGAGUGAAGAAGGCCUUCGGGUUGUAAAGCUCUUUCGGCCGGGAAGAAAUCGCAUGGGUUAAUACCCUGUGCGGAUGACGGUACCGGCAUAAGAAGCACCGGCUAACUACGUGCCAGCAGCCGCAGUAACAC
rnacentral:rRNA from 1 species